CGAAGAGUUCUCGCGCGACGAAAAUCGCGUUCUUUUUCGGAACGCGGAUUUCGCGCCCUCCGUCCUUCGAACCGAUCGCGAACGCGUGCACUUUUCUCCUGGUAGGACGUCGCGAUCCGUCGGGCGUCGGUCUACGACUUGCGGUGGAGACCGUACGCGGUGUGUCGCGUCGUCGCCUCUCGGGGCGGCGGCGCGUCGCGUGCGGACCCGCUCGCCUUCCGGCCGACUCGCUCGACGGUAUGACUGUAUGUGGUCGGAGGUCGCUCGAUCGUCGCGUUCUCUCUCUCUCUCUCUCGCUCUCCGUCGUACGUUUACGUGCGGCGGGGGUUUGGGGGGGGGGGGGCUGGCCGACGGGGAAGCGUUCGACUCGUCGCAAGCGCGUCACGUGCGUCGGCACGCGGACUCCGUGCCGCGUCCGUCCUCUGGCGACUGUUGGCGACGAAGUUCUCGGACAGACCUCGCGAUUUUUUCGUUCUCCCAAAAGGAGACGCGGAGAAAUUCGUCGGACCGAUCGGCGACGCUAUAGCUUUGGGUACUUUCAGGACCCGUCUUGAAACACGGACCAAGGAGUCUAGCACGUACGCGAGUCAUUGGGAUUCGUAGCUAAACCUAAAGGCGUAAUGAAAGUGAAGAAAACGCGAAGGCGGCGUUCUCGUCGCCGUCGCGAAUGGGAAGACGGACGAUGGCUUUCCUUCGAACCGGGGGACGAUCGUCGCCUCCGAUCUCGGGGCGCGGCGGUCUCUCUCGGCGGAAUCGAUCGUCCCGCAUUCCCGGGGCGUCUCGUUCGCUCGCGCGUUUCGUGCGCGCGUUCGCGAAGAGGCGCACCACGAGCGUACGCGCUGGGACCCGAAAGAUGGUGAACUAUGCCUGGUCAGGACGAAGUCAGGGGAAACCCUGAUGGAGGUCCGUAGCGAUUCU
rnacentral:rRNA from 1 species